AAAGUAUCCCGGGCGCACCGCCUGGAUGAACUCCGAGGAGGCGGCCGGGCGGCCAGGGCGCGCCGUCCCGGCUCCCUGCCUGGGUUGGCGAGGCGAGGCGAGGCGGCUGGAAAUCCCACAGACCUGGAACUAAAUUUCUGUUCACCGUGGCCAAGGAACAGGGAUUCUUGGUGGAUGCAGUUCUCUCUCUUGGUGGAUGCAAACCUGGUCCUUUUCAAGAUGGGAGUCUCCAAAACCUCUGACCCCCUCUAAUCCUGACCUUGAAAUUUCCUGCGAUCAGCUAAUCCUCAAAGGUAGACAUUCACCUCCCCUUGAAGGUGCUGGGAAAGAUGGCAGAGGGAAUUGCAGUUCUCCACACAAGCAAAUUUUUCUUUUCAAAUGAAAAGAAAAUCCCUCUGAAAGCACAUUUAACUACCAGCCACAGAACAGGAACCACCACCACCCAAAUCUGGGCUGCAUGGAUGCUGCACCCCAAAGGCCAUCGGGUUACGUGAAGCAAGUCCUGGGAACCAUCGAUGGUUGGGCCCUGGUUCUCCGAGGCUUUUUCCUCACCUGGGCUGAGAUUAGCAGCAGAAAUGCUGGAUCCGUCCCGAAAGAACAGAGCGAGCCAAGGAUGAGACCCUGCUCCAUGGGUCCUUUGAAAAAUGGUAGGAGAGUCGGGGCCCUCCAUCCUGAUCUGUUUGUCCCUUCUGGGACUCCGGCUGUCCACUGCUGGGGAGAGAAGGCUGGGAGGUGGAGGCAACCUUGACCUCCACAGAAGGCCCAUUCUCAGCUUCCUUGGGGACAAGAGCUGGGAGAAGCAGAAGGCAACCGGAUGGUGCCCACUGUCUUCUGAUGUCUUGGCAAGGCCUCUUCUCCCCACUUCGUUCCUGUGUUGGGGGCAAGAGGUCACCCCAUCCAGGGGGGGAGUUGCAGGCCCUGCUCCCAUCCUCUUCAGCCAUCUCCUCCUAACAUGUAUAGCGUAAUAACGCCCUGUGCAUAUAAAAUUCCUAAAUAGAUUUACAUAAUUUAUUGUGACUCUUUUGUGGUUUAUUUAAUGCUUGGCUGAUUCUUGCUCAGCUUAAUGCACUGCCACUGUGCGAGACGCACCGGGGAGGGUUUGUUUUACGGUUUUUAAUCAAGGCCUCCUCAACAUCUGCUUGCUGCAGUUGCUGAUGGGGAGUUCCAGGAGAGGGUGGGCGAGGGGAGAGAGGAUGUCAACACUCUGCCCACUGCCUGGCAGCCUUCCAGAUGCCUCCUUCAGUCCUGGACGUUCUGCAGCAAGCAAAGCAGCAACGGAGCCCCUCCCUGAGCAAAAGGCCCCAAUCCUGGUCUGUAUUCCUGGUUUCUAUAAAACUUUCCCCCUGGG